rnacentral:rRNA from 1 species
CGAAUACCGGAGAAUGUUAUCACGGGAGACACACGGCGGGUGCUAACGUCCGUCGUGAAGAGGGAAACAACCCAGACCGCCAGCUAAGGUCCCAAAGUCAUGGUUAAGUGGGAAACGAUGUGGGAAGGCCCAGACAGCCAGGAUGUUGGCUUAGAAGCAGCCAUCAUUUAAAGAAAGCGUAAUAGCUCACUGGUCGAGUCGGCCUGCGCGGAAGAUGUAACGGGGCUAAACCAUGCACCGAAGCUGCGGCAGCGACGCUUAUGCGUUGUUGGGUAGGGGAGCGUUCUGUAAGCCUGUGAAGGUGUACUGUGAGGUAUGCUGGAGGUAUCAGAAGUGCGAAUGCUGACAUAAGUAACGAUAAAGCGGGUGAAAAGCCCGCUCGCCGGAAGACCAAGGGUUCCUGUCCAACGUUAAUCGGGGCAGGGUGAGUCGACCCCUAAGGCGAGGCCGAAAGGCGUAGUCGAUGGGAAACAGGUUAAUAUUCCUGUACUUGGUGUUACUGCGAAGGGGGGACGGAGAAGGCUAUGUUGGCCGGGCGACGGUUGUCCCGGUUUAAGCGUGUAGGCUGGUUUUCCAGGCAAAUCCGGAAAAUCAAGGCUGAGGCGUGAUGACGAGGCACUACGGUGCUGAAGCAACAAAUGCCCUGCUUCCAGGAAAAGCCUCUAAGCAUCAGGUAACAUCAAAUCGUACCCCAAACCGACACAGGUGGUCAGGUAGAGAAUACCAAGGCGCUUGAGAGAACUCGGGUGAAGGAACUAGGCAAAAUGGUGCCGUAACUUCGGGAGAAGGCACGCUGAUAUGUAGGUGAAGCGACUUGCUCGUGGAGCUGAAAUCAGUCGAAGAUACCAGCUGGCUGCAACUGUUUAUUAAAAACACAGCACUGUGCAAACACGAAAGUGGACGUAUACGGUGUGACGCCUGCCCGGUGCCGGAAGGUUAAUUGAUGGGGUCAGCGCAAGCGAAGCUCUUGAUCGAAGCCCCGGUAAACGGCGGCCGUAACUAUAACGGUCCUAAGGUAGCGAAAUUCCUUGUCGGGUAAGUUCCGACCUGCACGAAUGGCGUAAUGAUGGCCAGGCUGUCUCCACCCGAGACUCAGUGAAAUUGAACUCGCUGUGAAGAUGCAGUGUACCCGCGGCAAGACGGAAAGACCCCGUGAACCUUUACUAUAGCUUGACACUGAACAUUGAGCCUUGAUGUGUAGGAUAGGUGGGAGGCUUUGAAGUGUGGACGCCAGUCUGCAUGGAGCCGACCUUGAAAUACCACCCUUUAAUGUUUGAUGUUCUAACGUGGACCCGUAAUCCGGGUUGCGGACAGUGUCUGGUGGGUAGUUUGACUGGGGCGGUCUCCUCCUAAAGAGUAACGGAGGAGCACGAAGGUUGGCUAAUCCUGGUCGGACAUCAGGAGGUUAGUGCAAUGGCAUAAGCCAGCUUGACUGCGAGCGUGACGGCGCGAGCAGGUGCGAAAGCAGGUCAUAGUGAUCCGGUGGUUCUGAAUGGAAGGGCCAUCGCUCAACGGAUAAAAGGUACUCCGGGGAUAACAGGCUGAUACCGCCCAAGAGUUCAUAUCGACGGCGGUGUUUGGCACCUCGAUGUCGGCUCAUCACAUCCUGGGGCUGAAGUAGGUCCCAAGGGUAUGGCUGUUCGCCAUUUAAAGUGGUACGCGAGCUGGGUUUAGAACGUCGUGAGACAGUUCGGUCCCUAUCUGCCGUGGGCGCUGGAGAACUGAGGGGGGCUGCUCCUAGUACGAGAGGACCGGAGUGGACGCAUCACUGGUGUUCGGGUUGUCAUGCCAAUGGCACUGCCCGGUAGCUAAAUGCGGAAGAGAUAAGUGCUGAAAGCAUCUAAGCACGAAACUUGCCCCGAGAUGAGUUCUCCCUGACCCUUUAAGGGUCCUGAAGGAACGUUGAAGACGACGACGUUGAUAGGCCGGGUGUGUAAGCGCAGCGAUGCGUUGAGCUAACCGGUACUAAUGAACCGUGAGGCUUAACCUUACAACGCCGAAGCUGUU